rnacentral:rRNA from 1 species
CAAGCAGUGGGAGCCUCUUUAUGGGGUGACUGCGUACCUUUUGUAUAAUGGGUCAGCGACUUAUAUUCUGUAGCAAGGUUAACCGAAUAGGGGAGCCGAAGGGAAACCGAGUCUUAACUGGGCGUUAAGUUGCAGGGUAUAGACCCGAAACCCGGUGAUCUAGCCAUGGGCAGGUUGAAGGUUGGGUAACACUAACUGGAGGACCGAACCGACUAAUGUUGAAAAAUUAGCGGAUGACUUGUGGCUGGGGGUGAAAGGCCAAUCAAACCGGGAGAUAGCUGGUUCUCCCCGAAAGCUAUUUAGGUAGCGCCUCGUGAAUUCAUCUCCGGGGGUAGAGCACUGUUUCGGCAAGGGGGUCAUCCCGACUUACCAACCCGAUGCAAACUGCGAAUACCGGAGAAUGUUAUCACGGGAGACACACGGCGGGUGCUAACGUCCGUCGUGAAGAGGGAAACAACCCAGACCGCCAGCUAAGGUCCCAAAGUCAUGGUUAAGUGGGAAACGAUGUGGGAAGGCCCAGACAGCCAGGAUGUUGGCUUAGAAGCAGCCAUCAUUUAAAGAAAGCGUAAUAGCUCACUGGUCGAGUCGGCCUGCGCGGAAGAUGUAACGGGGCUAAACCAUG